GUAGGCAUUCAGUCUCUAAUCUUGAUACGUAGAUCAGUACAGUUUGACUAGCGGGGCUUUGCGUACUGACGAGAGCCCGCUACUACGUCAGCAGCCCGGUAAUCGUAGUGGCAAGCGUUAUCCGAAUUAUUGGGCGGUUAAGCGCUGGCCUAGCUGGUUCUUUAAGUUGAUAGGUGAAGCCUACGGCUCCACCGUGAGGGGAUCAUUGGAAACUAGGGAGACUUGAGUGCAGCAGAGGAGAGUGGAAUUCCAAGUGUAGCGGUGAAAUGCGUAGAUAUUAGGAGGAACACCAGUGGCGAAGCGACUUUCUGGUCUGUAACUGACACUGAGGCGCGAAAGCGUGGGGAGCAAACAGGAUUAGAUACCCUGGUAGUCCACGCCGUAAACGAUGAGUGCUAGGUGUUGGGGGUUUUCCCCCCCCGGUGUCGCAAAUUUCACACUUUAGUACUCCCCCCCUGGGAGUGUACGGCCCACGAGUGAAAAUCUCAGGGGAAUUCGGGGGGCCGCCCACAAAACCGGAGCAUAUGGUGUUAAAUUAAGCACCGCGAAAAACCCUUUCUCAGGUCUUCAUAUCCUUGGCCUAUCCUUAAUAUAGGGUUUCCCCUUGGGGACAGUGGUGACAGGUGGUGCAUGGUUGUCGUCAGCUCGUGUCGUGAGAUGUUGGGUUAAGUCCCGCAACGAGCGCAACCCUUGCUUUUAGUUGCCAUCAUUAAGUUGGGCACUCUAAAGGGACUGCCGGGGAUAACUCGGAGGAAGGUGGGGAUGACGUCAAAUCAUCAUGCCCCUUAUGCCCAGGGCUACACACGUGCUACAAUGGGCGGUACAAAGGGUUGCCAAGCCGCGAGGUGGAGCUAAUCCCAUAAAACCAUUCUCAGUUCGGAUUGUAGGCUGCAACUCGCCUACAUGAAGCUGGAAUUGCUAGUAAUCGCGGAUCAGCAUGCCGCGGUGAAUCGUUCCCGGGUCUUGUACACACCGCCCGUCACACCACGAGAGUGUGGAACCCCGAAGUCGGUGGGGUAACCUUUAGGAGCCAGCCGCCUAAGGUGC
rnacentral:rRNA from 1 species